UUAUCCGGAUUUAUUGGGUUUAAAGGGAGCGUAGAUGGAUGUUUAAGUCAGUUGUGAAAGUUUGCGGCUCAACCGUAAAAUUGCAGUUGAUACUGGAUGUCUUGAGUGCAGUUGAGGCAGGCGGAAUUCGUGGUGUAGCGGUGAAAUGCUUAGAUAUCACGAAGAACUCCGAUUGCGAAGGCAGCCUGCUAAGCUGCAACUGACAUUGAGGCUCGAAAGUGUGGGUAUCAAACAGGAUUAGAUACCCUGGUAGUCCACACGGUAAACGAUGAAUACUCGCUGUUUGCGAUAUACGGCAAGCGGCCAAGCGAAAGCGUUAAGUAUUCCACCUGGGGAGUACGCCGGCAACGGUGAAACUCAAAGGAAUUGACGGGGGCCCGCACAAGCGGAGGAACAUGUGGUUUAAUUCGAUGAUUCGCCAAGAACCUUACCCGGGCUUAAAUUGC
rnacentral:rRNA from 1 species